AGUUCAAGAGUACGUGAAACCGUUUAGGGGUAAACCUGAGAAACCCGAAAGGUCGAAGGGAGAAAUUCAUUCGCGUUUCGACGCAGGCGUGGGACGGAGUCCCGAGCGACGGAACGCCCGUUCUUCGCGGAACGGGAUAGUUUCGCGCCCUCCGUCCUUCGAACCGGCGGCGAACGCGUGCACUUUUCUCCUGGUAGGACGUCGCGAUCCGUCGGGUGUCGGUCUACGACUUGCGGUGGAGCCCGCCCGUCUCGUCUUAGUACGUGCGGACGGACCCGCUCGUUCCGGCCGACUCGCUCGACGGUAUACCUAAGGUCGGAGGUCGCUCGUUUUUUUUUAUCAAAGGAGCGUUCGACUCGUCGCAAGCGCGCCACGUGCGUCGGCACGCGGACUUCGUGCCGCGUCCGACCUCUGGCGACUGUUGGCGACGAAGUUCUCGGACAGACCUCUUUUUGUGUUAUUAUCUCUUUCGCGGAGAUGGUAUCACAUCAUAAAGACCGAUCGGCGACGCUAUAGCUUUGGGUACUUUCAGGACCCGUCUUGAAACACGGACCAAGGAGUCUAGCAUGUACGCGAGUCAUUGGGAAUUUCACUAAACCUAAAGGCGUAAUGAAAGUGAAGGUCUUCCUCGCGAAGACCGAGGGAAGACGGACGAUCGUUUGCAAUAUCCGAUCGGUCCUGCAUUCCCGGGGCGUCUCGUUCUCACAGAGCGUGAAGAGGCGCACCAAGAGCGUACACGCUGGGACCCGAAAGAUGGUGAACUAUGCCUGGUCAGGACGAAGUCAGGGGAAACCCUGAUGGAGGUCCGUAGCGAUU
rnacentral:rRNA from 1 species